GUCGUCUUAAAUGUCACUGCGUGUGCUGGCGAAAAACUCCCCGUGUGUGUCCGUGUGUGUCCGUGUGGUGUGUGUGUGGCUUCUCGAUCGAUAGAGUUUAUUAGUCGGUAUUUAGUUUGAAUUGUGCCUGUUCUCUAUGUUCAACUUGUGUGUUCUGUGGUUGUUUAACAACCUGUGGACCACCUGUGGUUCUUUAACGCGCGCCCAAUUCAGAGCACACGGGUCUAAAACUUUUCCGCCUCCAUCGGAAAUGCAGCCGCCACCGCCGGGAUUUCAUCCCACGACCUGUGGGUCAGCAGCCGAGUACCUUAACCAAUACACUACAGCGAUGGGGCGGGUUCUGCCAAUACUGAUUUUUGCGAAGAUGCACGAUCCUGAAGGCUGGACCUGUGGAGUCAUAUUGUGGAGCACUCGAAGUGAAAUAAUAAUUGGAGGAGGUCAUCAUCAGGAACCCCCAUGCACACUGUAUUCAUCGACCUUUGUGGGCCUACCGAAACGGGGACGUUUCCAAAUACUACAAGUUUAGAUAGGUUACCAUAUUGGAACUUGAAGCGUACCUCCAAGAGGUAGCUGCGGCACCCGGACUUGGUUUUAUUGCAGCCUGGGCCAAUGGCUUCCGUGAGCGUUUUUGAAACGACGGAAGGUGAAAUUGAUUGGACUGUUUUGUUUUCUUCAAGGCUGUGUGUGACAUGAUACUUUCGGGAACAAAUGAUUUGGUCUCAGGAGUCUGAAGCUUUUUUGUUGCACCACCUUUUCGGGGAGGAUCACUGAGUGCGGGGAAAAAGUGCGCCAUAGAGGAAACGUAACAUAUUGUGGCAAUGGUGGCGACCCACCGCCAAGCCCAACGAGAAGGCGCUAUAAGGUUCAUUAUUAAACACUUGGAGAAGUCAGCCGUGCAUUGCCGCUAUAUUCGAAUAUAAGUACCUUAGGUUGGGUAAAUGCACAGGGCUAACCCUCGCCGCCAGAAAAUUUGGAAGUAAACGGAACAGAGAAGAUGACAAGACAGAUAAAGAGUCACAGCUUUGCCGCAAAGGCUAAGCAAUGAACGUGAUAGCAGCAAACUGGAAGGUGACGGACCGAAUGACAAGCAGAUCGAAAACGUGCCCCGCGUUUCUGACGCGCAAAUGAAGCACAAAGCGUACUCACAGGUACAGACAAACGCGUAAAAGCGUCUCAGUUGGUACUUCGCUCUGUCUGAAAAGCACGGUUUUUUCGCAAAUGGAGACUGUGCAAUGGUUGCAGUGACCUUUCUGCGCCCGGUAACUACAACAGAAAUGUUCUAGCAAAAGGUCAACGCCAGCUAAGGCACAUGAUCGUCCCCACUGAAAGAUAAGGGGGCGUGAGCGAGCAUCUACAUCUUUGUCGCUGGCGUCGACGCCGACGCCUUGGGUGAAAUACAGCGGAGAAUUUCCAUAUAACUGUUAUCGCAAUGAAUAUGAGCGACGAAACGAAGAUGCAGGGAUGUUAGGAGAGAUAGAAAAAGACGACUGCCAAUUUCACCUUAGUGGGUCAGCCCAGGGGUGCGGUCUACGUGAAGCUGGCACCAAAGGCAUGCGUUGCCUCCAAGCACCCAGCAGCCAGAUCCAAGCACCCAGCGUCGGCUCAACUCCAAGCAUACCCGUUUUUCUGGACACGUCUAAGUCACGCAUGGCAAGGCGUGGGAGAAAAUGAACCCCCCCCCCCUUCCUUCGGUGGCUCGGAUCCGUGAUGUGCCACACACCAAACGCCUACUUGCACAGACGCCUAUGCGGGGUACCACCGACUAAAUAAAUGAAAUUAUAUGGGAAAGUCAAUUUCCAAAGCUAAAGCGAUCUAGGUUCUUGAGGGCUGAAAACACUACGCGUACGUUAGCCUGCUGAGCCACAUUUGCACCUUAUAGAGCAACUGGUAAUCCCCAUAGUUACACCUUACCGGGACACCAUUAGUCCUCCUAUUUGUCAUAUGCUGCUCAAGUUUAUGCUGCGCGGUUCCAGCAAAUAAAUUUUGUUUUAGGUCAG